GAGAAAAGUGCCCUAGAAGCUAUUCAUUACGAAUUCACUGGAAGCUCUCAAACGAGGCUGGCAGAAGCUGAAAUUGAAGUGGUCUCUGACCUAAUUUUCUUCUGCAUGAAACAUCUGCAUCAAGGCUCUGUUUGAUGUAUUCCACUUGGCUCUGUCUACGGGAUUGUAUCACAUGGCCUCCGUGUUGCCUCCUUAUUGAAAGACAUUUCCAGCCUGUGCAAGGUAAUGCAAUGUUACUGUUACCCAAGCUAAUCACUCAAUGUGCUCCUAAAAUAGAAACAAUAGCAGUUCAGAGACAAUGUUGUCUGCUGGCUGUUCUGCAGCCUGGGCUCCUGGCUUUCCAACUCAGAUUUGUGGCAUUUGUUCGCCUCCUGUGAUUCCAAAACAAAGGAAUGUGAGAAGACAGGCGAAGCCUUGCAAGAUGAUGUUGAAGGACCAGCAGCUUUAUGUGUGAGAAGCUCCAUCUUAUUUGGUCCUUUGAACCACUGGCUAGGAUUCUGGCAUCCUUUAAAACCAGAGGCAGAGCACUGCUGAGAGAUGUCUGUCUGAAGAAAAAGGAAGGGUGCCUUGAUGGGGGUGUUGGAUUGGAUUUUUUUCUAAAAGCAGAUUGACACCCUCAACUCCAAGAGACAGAAUGAGACAGACAGAGGGAAAUGUGUACUGAAUGUGGAGUGCUUUGUGAUUCUUUGGUGAUCUAUGAACUACUUCUAAAAUUGACUUUCUCCUCUUAAGCUCUCCCAACCUAGCUAGGAUGCAGGAGUGCAUUUUAAAAAGCAAUAAAUGAUAAUAAUCUUUCUUUCUUAAAGCAACUGUAAUGAGGCAUCUUCUUUAUCCUGGCAGAAUAGCUGUUGCCUUUCUCCAUAAAGGUUUGCUGCACAGACUUUGUUAAUGGUGUGCAGCUAUUCCCCACCAUCCCAGUAUUCUGUGAAUAACGGUGGUGUCUUUUGUGGCCCACCCCCUGAAGAAGAAACCUUUGAAAUUCUAAAUGACUGUGCUGCAGGUUUUAAUGUCUGCUUCAGAGAAAGAACUGAGAAAUAUGCACUCACUGAGCAAGAUACAGCAUGCCUCAGAAAAUCCUUUCUGCCUGACUCCUCUGUCCCACGAAUUUAGAUGAAUAUCAUUCUUACAGAUGCCCUCGAGUUCUCUUGAUGCCAGGAGAGAAUGACAGGUGUGAUCAACAGCCUUUUUUUGCCCAAAUAUUGAUACCCCAUGGCCAAAUAUGUAGUCACUCCUUCCCCUUCUAGGACUUCCUAAUCAAACAAAGCAAUCAGUGUGGAACAUCUGGGAGCCAGUGGCAUCUCUGAGAUCAGGUGGUGAUCUGGUCCCCUGAUGGGGAAGGCACAGUGGAAAGAAGUCAGCCACAUGGGGGUGAACAUCAGUCUGUCUAUUAAUGAAGUCUCCACAGAGAGCCCAGAGAAGGCACUGGAGCCAAGGCAGCAAGAUGGCCCGUUUGACACAAAUGAGAACAACCUUGAUAGCUGUCAACUGGAGACUAUCUGAGAACAAAAGGACAUUACUGCAAACCAGGGCUGGAGGCAUCUGGCAGAAGACAGCUAGCCACGUCAUUGCUCCUCACUAGAGAACCCCGCCCUCAGGCAGAAAGCAGCCGUGCUGAAUGGAUGAGGAGACAGGUCUUAAAAGACUGUGAGUCUUGAGUCAUGAGACUGGAGAAGACAGCAAAGCCAUGAGCAGCUGAG